rnacentral:rRNA from 1 species
GGUGGAUGCCUUGGCAUCAGGAGCCGAUGAAGGACGUGGAAAUCUGCGAUAAGCCUCGGGGAGCUGUC